AUUCAAUGUUGGCUUUGAUUAAUCAUAAAUUAGAAAUUAAUAUCAUGUCUUGAAAGAUAUUUAAAAAAAAGUAAGUGGCCAAUUGAUAUGAAUCAUAAAUAGGUAAUUAAAGUAAAAAAUAACCAACAAAAGAUCUUUAUAGAGCUUUUCCAAUAGUAAAGACAAGAAUUAGAGAUGCGGAGGUAGAACAAAUCUCUUUUGUGCAAAAUUCAGCUACAUAUCUAGUAAUACUUAGUCAAUCUUAUAUCAUUGUUGCAAGAAUAGAAAGUAGAGUUUUAAAUGAUGGUUUUGAUUAUACUAGGAUUUGUAGUU
rnacentral:lncRNA from 1 species